AACGAACGCUGGCGGCAGGCUUAACACAUGCAAGUCGAACGCCCCGCAAGGGGAGUGGCAGACGGGUGAGUAACGCGUGGGAAUCUACCCAGAUCUUCGGAACAACUGAGGGAAACUUCAGCUAAUACCGGAUACGCCCUACGGGGGAAAGAUUCAUCGGUUCUGGAUGAGCCCGCGUUGGAUUAGCUAGUUGGUGGGGUAAUGGCCUACCAAGGCGACGAUCCAUAGCUGGUCUGAGAGGAUGAUCAGCCACACUGGGACUGAGACACGACCCAGAAUCCUACGGGAGGCAGCAGUGGGGAAUAUUGUACAAUGGGCAAAAGCCUGAUCCAGCCAUGCCGCGUGAGUGAUGAAGGCCUUAGGGUUGUAAAGCUCUUUCAGUGGGGAAGAUAAUGACGGUACCCACAGAAGAAGCCCCGGCUAACUUCGUGCCAGCAGCCGCCGUAACAC
rnacentral:rRNA from 1 species